rnacentral:rRNA from 1 species
GUAGUCGAGCGGGUAGCAAUACCAGCGGCAAACGGGUGCGUAACGCGUAAAUAACCUGCCCUCAACUGGGAGAUAGCUUUGCGAAAGCGGAGGUAAUACCCCAUAGUCUUCUUGGUUCACCUGGACUGAUUAGUAAAGCAGCAAUGUGGUUGAGGAGGGAUUUGCGUCUGAUUAGUUAGUUGGCAGGGUAGUGGCCUACCAAGACGAUGAUCAGUCGGGGCUCUGAGAGGAGGGUCCCCCACAUGGGCACUGAGACACGGGCCCAACUCCUACGGGAGGCAGCAGUAGGGAAUAUUGGGCAAUGGGCGGAAGCCUGACCCAGCCAUGCCGCGUGCCGGAUGAAGGCCCUCUGGGUUGUAAACGGCUUUUAUCGGUGAAGAAGAGCACUCUUGCGAGAGUGUGUGACGGUAGCUGAGGAAUCAGCACCGGCUAACUCCGUGCCAGCAGCCGCGGUAAUACGGAGGGUGCAAGCGUUGUCCGGAUUUAUUGGGUUUAAAGGGUGCGUAGGUGGCCUGAUAAGUCAGCUUUGAAAGUGGCUUGCUUAACAAGACAGGGUGGGUUGAUACUGUCAGGCUUGAAUGGGAUGGAGGUUACUGGAACGGGUCGUGUAGCGGUGAAAUGCAUAGAUAUGACCCAGAACUCCAAUUGCGAAGGCAGGUGGCUACAUCUUUAUUGACACUGAGGCACGAGAGCAUGGGGAGCAAACAGGAUUAGAUACCCUGGUAGUCCAUGCCGUAAACGAUGAUAACUGACUGUUUGGAUUUCGGUCUGAGUGGUUAAGCGAAAGCGUUAAGUUAUCCACCUGGGGAGUACGCCGGCAACGGUGAAACUCAAAGGAAUUGACGG